UACGAAGGGGGCUAGCGUUGCUCGGAUUGACUGGGCGUAAAGGGCGCGUAGGCGGUUCGUACAGUCAGACGUGAAAUUCCUGGGCUCAACCUGGGGGCUGCGUUUGAUACGUGCGGGCUUGAGUGCGGAAGAGGGUCGUGGAAUUCCCAGUGUAGAGGUGAAAUUCGUAGAUAUUGGGAAGAACACCGGUGGCGAAGGCGACUUCCUGGCCUGUUCUUGACGCUGAGGCGCGAAAGCUAGGGGAGCAAACGGG
rnacentral:rRNA from 1 species